rnacentral:rRNA from 1 species
UACGUAGGGUGCAAGCGUUGUCCGGAAUUAUUGGGCGUAAAGAGCUCGUAGGCGGUCUGUCGCGUCUGCUGUGAAAACUCAGGGCUUAACCCUGAGCUUGCAGUGGGUACGGGCAGGCUAGAGUUCGGUAGGGGAGACUGGAAUUCCUGGUGUAGCGGUGAAAUGCGCAGAUAUCAGGAGGAACACCGGUGGCGAAGGCGGUUCUCUGGGCAUUACCUGACGCUGAGGAGCGAAAGUGUGGGGAGCGAACAGG